UUUGCAAGGGAGGGGAUCAGAGCAAUUCAGAUAGGACCAGGUGGUCUUUUCUUUACUGGCGAUGGAAGUGGUCAAGUGAGAGUAUGGAAUUGGUCGACUGAGGCCGCGGCUCCUGCUUGAUAUCCCGUAUUGCCUUUUCAAUUAUUUUAUUUAUCUUUCUUCCUUUACAAUGUGUAAGCUUUUUAGGAUGAGCGAUUGCCUCAAAUCAUAAGCACACACCAGGGAAAAAAAAAAGAGAGAGAGAAGAGAGUGUACGCUUCGUACGUAUUUACAUUGAUGUUUUCAAAGAGCGUGAUAUGUGGUGAGGAAUUGUGACACUCUACAGGCCUAUCUUCCAAUUUACUGGACACCCUUUUUGGCAUCAAGGAUGAUAAAAGCUUAAUUUAUAAGCAAAGCUUAAUUUAAAGUAACUCC
rnacentral:lncRNA from 1 species